rnacentral:misc_RNA from 1 species
UACGUAGGUGGCAAUCGUUGUCCGGAACUAUUGGGCGUAAAGCGCGCGCAGGCGGCCUCUUAAGUCUGAUGCGAAAGCCCACGGCUCAACCGUGGAGGGUCAGUGGAAACUGGGGGAAUUGAGUGCAGAAGAGGAAAGUGGAAUUCCAUGUGUAGCGGUGAAAUGCGUAGAGAUGUGGAGGAACACCAGUGGCGAAGGCGACUUUCGGGUCUGUAACUGACGCUGAGGCGCGAAAGCGUGGGGAGCAAACAGG